UACGUAGGGUGCGAGCGUUGUCCGGAAUUAUUGGGCGUAAAGAGCUCGUAGGCGGUGUGUCGCGUCGGCCGUGAAAACCUGCAGCUUAACUGUGGGCUUGCGGUCGAUACGGGCAUCACUGGAGUUCGGCAGGGGAGACUGGAAUUCCUGGUGUAGCGGUGAAAUGCGCAGAUAUCAGGAGGAACACCGGUGGCGAAGGCGGGUCUCUGGGGCCGAUACUGACGCUGGAGGAGCG
rnacentral:rRNA from 1 species